GCUAAGGUCAAUAACAGGAGUGGGUUAGUGAGGACCAGGGCUAAGGUCAAUAACAGGAGUGGGUUAGUGAGGACCAGGGCUAAGGUCAAUAACAGGAGUGGGUUAGUGAGGACCAGGGCUAAGGUCAAUAACAGGAGUGGGUUAGUGAGGACCAGGGCUAAGGUCAAUAACAGGAGUGGGUUAGUGAGGACCAGGGCUAAGGUCAAUAACAGGAGUGGGUUAGUGAGGACCAGGGCUAAGGUCAAUAACAGGAGUGGGUUAGUGAGGACCAGGGCUAAGGUCAAUAACAGGAGUGGGUUAGUGAGGACCAGGGCUAAGGUCAAUAACAGGAGUGGGUUAGUGAGGACCAGGGCUAAGGUCAAUAACAGGAGUGGGUUAGUGAGGACCAGGGCUAAGGUCAAUAACAGGAGUGGGUUAGUGAGGACCAGGGCUAAGGUCAAUAACAGGAGUGGGUUAGUGAGGACCACGGCUAAGGUCAAUAACAGGAGUGGGUUAGUGAGGACCACGGCUAAGGUCAAUAACAGGAGUGGGUUAGUGAGGACCACGGCUAAGGUCAAUAACAGGAGUGGGUUAGUGAGGACCACGGCUAAGGUCAAUAACAGGAGUGGGUUAGUGAGGACCACGGCUAAGGUCAAUAACAGGAGUGGGUUAGUGAGGACCACGGCUAAGGUCAAUAACAGGAGUGGGUUAGUGAGGACCAGGUGAAGAGACCUAGUUAGCUAAGG